AGAGUUUGAUCCUGGCUCAGGNNGANNGCNGGCGGCGUGCUUAACACAUGCAAGUCGUACGAGNCGAUUGAAAGCUUGCUUUUGAAAGUCGAGUGGCAAACGGGUGAGUAACGCGUAGACAACCUGCCGUAAAGAUGGGGACAACAGUCCGAAAGGACUGCUAAUACCGAAUGUUGUGGAACUUCCGCAUGGGGGCUCCACUAAAGAUGGCCUCUACUUGUAAGCUAUCGCUUUACGAUGGGUCUGCGUCUGAUUAGCUAGUUGGUGGGGUAACGGCUUACCAAGGCGACGAUCAUUAGCCGGUCUGAGAGGAUGAACGGCCACAUUGGAACUUGAGACACGGGCCCAGACUCCUACGGGAAGGCAGCAGUGGGGGAAAUCUUCCGCAAUGGUCGCAAGCCUGACGGANCAACGCCGCUUGAGUGAAGAAGGUUUUCAACUCCUAAGGCUCUGUUGUCGGGGACAAAUGNGUAGAUU
rnacentral:rRNA from 1 species